AUUGACCGCUGGCGGCAGGCCUAACACAUGCAAGUCGCACGAGUGGCGGACGGGUGAGUAAUGUCUGGGAAACUGCCUGAUGGAGGGGGCUAACUACUGGAAACGGUAGCUAAUACCGCAUACCAUCAGAUGUGCCCAGAUGGGAUUAGCUAGUUGGUGGGGUAACGGCUCACCAAGGCGACGAGCCCUAGCGGUUCUGAGAGGAGGACCAGCCACUCUGUAACUGAGAUCUGUUCAAGACUCCUACGUGAGGCAGCAGUGGGGAAUAUGGCACAAUGGGCGAAAGCAUGAUGCAGCCAGGCCGCGUGUAUGAAGAAGGCCUUAGGGUUGUAAAGUACUUUCAGCGGGGAGGCGUUACCCGCAGAAGAAGCACCGGCUAACUCCGUGCCAGCAGCCGCGGUAAUAC
rnacentral:rRNA from 1 species